AUUUGGGUAAGUCUUAUACGAUCUGCUCCUGUUGAACUCCCCCAGGGUCGGAAGGCAGCAAGGGUAAAAUGGUUGAGCGAUGCGAUAUAAGUCGCUUACCCU
rnacentral:SRP_RNA from 1 species